CCUACGGGAGGCAGCAGUAAGGAAUAUUGGUCAAUGGAGGCAACUCUGAACCAGCCAUGCCGCGUGCAGGAUGAAGGCCCUAUGGGUCGUAAACUGCUUUUACACAAGAGAAAACCCCGGUACGUGUACCGGGUUGAUAGUAUUGUGAGAAUAAGCAUCGGCUAACUUCGUGCCAGCAGCCGCGGUAAGACGAAGGAUGCAAGCGUUAUCCGGAUUCAUUGGGUUUAAAGGGUGCGUAGGCGGACUUGUAAGUCAGUGGUGAAAUCUCUUUGCUUAACAAGAAACUGCCAUUGAUACUGCAGGUCUAGAGUAUAGAUGACGUUGGCGGAAUAUGACAUGUAGUGGUGAAAUACUUAGAUAUGUCAUAGAACACCGAUUGCGAAGGCAGCUAACGAAACUAUAACUGACGCUGAGGCACGAAAGUGCGGGGAUCAAACAGGAUUAGAUACCCUGGUAGUCCGCACCGUAAACGAUANAUACUCGUGUGUNAUAUNACGUCNGCGACACGACGAGAGA
rnacentral:rRNA from 1 species